rnacentral:rRNA from 1 species
UCGAGAAUCUUCUGCAAUGGGCGCAAGCCUGACAGAGCGACGCCGCGUGCGGGAUGAAGGCCCUCGGGUUGUAAACCGCUGUCACUCGUUAAGAAAGCCUGGGGUAGGCCUCCAGGCUGACGUUAGCGAGAGAGGAAGUCACGGCUAACUUCGUGCCAGCAGCCGCGGUAAGACGAAGGUGACAACCGUUGCUCGGAAUCACUGGGCAUAAAGCGCGCGUAGGUGGCUAGGUCAGUCCAUGGUGAAACCCCUCGGCUCAACCGAGGAAGUGCCGUGGAUACUGCCUGGCUUGAGGACGGGAGGGGUGAGUGGAACUCUCGGUGUAGCGGUGAAAUGCGUAGAUAUCGAGAGGAACGCCGGUGGCGAAAGCGACUCACUGGACCGGAUCUGACACUGAUGCGCGAAAGCUAGGGGAGCAAACAGGAUUAGAUACCCUGGUAGUCCUAGCUGUAAACGAUGGGUACUGGGUAGGGUGGUCC